rnacentral:lncRNA from 1 species
UAUAAACAUGAGACCAAUGAUGUUUGAUCUUGUUUGAUGUUAAUUUGAUGUUGGAUGGUGGAUACCUUGCUGUUUUAACCUUUUUCUUGCUUUUGGACCCUAGGCUUGGCCUAGUGGUCUAGUUGCUAAUAUUUGCUUGGUUUUUCAGGAUCAAAAGCAUAAGGCACAUGGAGAAUGAUGCAAAUCAAUUUUAAUUGAUGUUGUUGAUGUUUGUAUAUUAACAUAGCAUUGUUUUGUAGGUGUUGAAGCUUGGGCUUAAGCCUUGAGCUUGCCUUGUGUUGUGCAUAGUUUGUUUAAACUGGUUA